AAAGAAGAUGCCAAGCAGAGUUCACUUUACCUCAGAAACUGAGAAAUCCUUUUCGUUAAUCAGUAUGGCCAGGGUUCUACUUUUCUGUACACUUCUCAGUCUCUGUGCAGGUGCCAAUUCACAGCCGUCACUGACUCAACCUGCCUCCCAGUCUGUGUCUCCUGGACAAACAACGACCCUUUCCUGCUUGAAAGGCAGUGGCAGCUGGGGUAGCACUGUUUACUGGCUU